GGGAGGCAGGACUCGCGGCAGCGCGUGUCCCAGCUGUGGGCUUGUGCUGUGCUUCCCGGUCGCUCCUGGAUGGGCGGGAGGGCCUGGCGCUUCAACGGUGGGGUCCGAGAAGUCGCCUGCAGUGCAGCAAUGGAGUCCAAAACUGGGGGGCCUUGACUCCACCCUCUAACCUCCUAGGCUCUGGAGGUCCCGCGACACUCCCCUUCCCUCCCGCAUCCUGCACUGCGCUUCCGGUUGCGGAGUCGGGGCACGGACUCAUGCCGGUCACACAAGCUCCAAUGACAGAGACAGGGUCUGCCUAUGUCACCCAGGCUGGUCAAAAACUUCUGGGCUCAAGUGAUCCUCCCGCCUCAGCUUCCUAAAGUGCUAGGACUGCAGGCGUGAGCCACCGCGCCUGGCCGGACCUCCUCUUAACUGGAUGGCAUCUGCGAAGACCCUAUUUCCAAAUAAGCCACAUUCAUAUAUUCCAGUUUGUGUGUCCCCAGCCACAGGGGGUACGAGUUCUGGCCUAAGUGACAGCAACAGGAUAGACGAAGGGCUACAGGGACCAAGUGACCCCUGGAUUCCUGCUUCACUUCAUCCUGCCACAGUCCCCGCCCGCACAAAGCGCCAACUAACACUGAACUUUGACCUCAAAGACUGAACUAGCCAUGUGCCCGGCUCCAUAUGAAUUUGAAGAGUUACAAAGCACAUUCUGUGUUCCUGGCCUCCUGAAAGCCACUUUGACUCAAUCCUCCAAUGGCUGCUAUUAUGGUUUGGCUGUGUCCCCACCCAAAUCUCAUCUUGAAUUCCCACGUGCUGUGGGAGGGACCCUAUAGGAGGUGAAGAUAUAACAAGAAGGCGGCCAUCCAUAACACAGAAGAAGAGUCCCCACCAGAGCCAGGCCACGCGGACACCCUGAUCUCAGACUUUCAGUCCCCAGAACUUUGAGAAAUUAAUGUUUGUUGUUUAAGCCACCCAGUUUGUGGCAUUCUUUUAGAGCAGCCUGAACUAAGACAGAAAUAUUAACAUAAACUUAUCUUUCAGUUGGGUGGCUUAAAAAUUCCCUCAGUACAACUGAAGACAAGUUCCCAGUUAAAGAUUUUAUUGAACAGAUGGACUCAGUUGUUAAAUGCUGCUGGGAACCCUGAAUAAAGUUUAUUUCUCUUUAAAACACAUGUUUCCUAUUGGAUGAACAAGGGCCAGAUAAAUUAAGUCAUGAAUUCAGGCAGGUAACCUGGUCAUGGAUUAUUAUUCGGGGUUUCAAGCUGUGAACAGUUGUUGUCACUCGCAAUUCAGGUGUCUCUCUUCACUGUGCUUCUAAAAAGAAAAACAAAUGAAUCAGAGCUUGGCUUUAUGGACAUGAGGAACGCAUCCUUAAAUUAGCCCACAAUGGGAUUCAGCUGAAUGUUGGAUGUGUUCCAAUUUCCCCUUUAAGUGUGCUGAAAAUCCAUAGGAGACAGUGGAAAACCCAUUUGCAUUUAGCACCUGCGUUUGUCUCAUAACUGUGUAUUAUUAUGCUCUUUAGAUUUGAAAGUACCUGGAGAACUUUCCUUCCUUUGGGCAAAUAAAAGGCAAAUAAAAGCUGUGUGUACAGUAUUAGCUUCCUGUAGCUACUGUAACAAACUAACAUAAACUUAGUGACUGAAAACAGGAGGCAUUCAUUCUCUUACAGGUCUUGAGGUCAGAAGUCUAACAUCAAGGUGUUGGCAGCGCUGGCUCUUUCCUGAGGCUUCAGGGGGAGGAUCCACUUCCUUGCUUCUUCCAGCUUCUGAAGGCCACUGAAAUUCCUGGGCCUGCGGCCCCUCCUUCCAUCGUCAAAGUGCAUCACCCAAUCUCUGGCUCCAACCUCACACCCAGUUUUUCUGACUUUGACCCUUUGGCCUCCCUCCAUUCUAAAGGAUCUUGUGAUUUCAGUAUUGGGUCCACCCAGAUGAUCCAGGAUAGUCUCCCAUCUCAAGAUCCUUCACUGAAUCACUUCUGCAAAGAUUUCUUUGCGAUACGAGGUAACAUAUUCACAGGUUCCAGAGAUUAGGACAUAAGCAUCUUCGAGGAGGAGGGGGUCACUAUUCAGACCCCCACACUGUGAGGUAUCAGUGGAGAAGUCUGGGAAAUGCAGUCAGUUCUCAGACCCAUCCUGCAGUACCCCGAAGGAACACUGGGGGUCUCUUGCUCCCGCACAGCGGGUUUUUGCUUGGACGGGGGAUCCGUGUUGACUUGGCUCACAUGAACAGAAAACCUUCCUUCUCUCUUUCCCAUUCCUCCUCCUUCCUCUCUCUUGUUAGUAACCACCUUGUUUUAUGUGUGUGACAAGAUGUUACAUGAGACUUCCUGUCGCCUUGGAGUUUCGACAGAAAGUUCUACCAGAAUAGAAUAGGUCCAAGUACUCUGAUAUCUCAGCAUGAGGGGCUAGACCAGUCAGCAAGGCUUGCAAAGGAGAUGCCUAAAUUGGGUCCUACCAGGGUUAGACCUUCACCUCUCCCCAGGCCCCUGGUUACCAGCAAAGCUAAGACUAUUUAGAGAGGUUGUCUUAGUCUAUUUGGGUUGCUAUAACAAAAAUACCACAAACUGGAUGCCUUAUAUACGAUAUAAAUGUAGUGCUGACAGUUCUGGAGGCUGAGAAGUCCACGAUCAAGGUGUUGGCAGAUGUGGUUCAUGGGUGGUGCCUUCUCACUGCAUCCUCACACGCCUGAAUGGGACAACAAGGUCCCUUGGGGACAGUUAUCAGGGCACUAAUCCCAUUCAUGAAGGCUCUGCCCUCAUUCCCUAAUCACCUCCCAAAGGCCCUACCUCCUGUUCCCACCUCAUUGAGGAUUACGUUUCAACAUAUACAUAUUUGAGAGACACAAACCUUCAGCCCAUGGCAGAGGUUGGAGGCAGGUGAAGUGAAUCUCUUUGGGGUGAGCUGUUGGGGUGCUAGAAUUUGCUCUCCUCUCCCCACUGGGAAGGAGAGGAGGUGCUUGGCCUGCGUCUACUGACGUGAGUUUGAUUGAUGCUGGAAAAGCCUGCAGAUGAAUGUCUAUGGCUGCUGGCUGCCCUAGGAAAGCAGAGAGGAAGUGGCUGGGAUGGGACUGGUCUGUUUGCAGAGUUUCCCAUGGGCCAGGGCCUCGACUGAAUCAGCCAGUUUGGGCGGCCAUGACAAAGCACCAUAGGCUGGGUGGCUUAAAGAAUGGGAGUUCAUUUCUUAUAGUUCUGGAGGUUGGAGUUCAAGAUCAACAUGCUAGGAGAUUUGGUUCUUGUUGGGGACCAUUUUCCUGGCUUGUGGCUGGCUGCCUUCUUGCUGUGUCCUUUCAUGGAGGGAUUUGGGGGUUGGGGGAAGAGACAGAG